UACGGAGGAUGCGAGCGUUAUCCGGAUUUAUUGGGUUUAAAGGGUGCGUAGGCGGGCUUUUAAGUCAGCGGUAAAAAUUCGGGGCUCAACCCCGUCCGGCCGUUGAAACUGGGGGUCUUGAGUGGGCGAGAAGAAGGCGGAAUGCGUGGUGUAGCGGUGAAAUGCAUAGAUAUCACGCAGGACCCCGAUUGCGAAGGCAGCCUUCCGGCGCCCUACUGACGCUGAGGCACGAAAGUGCGGGGAUCGAACAGG
rnacentral:rRNA from 1 species